CAGACAGCCAUUAGAGGACUUUCUGAAUCGAAACGGACCCUAGGUAUCCGGUAUCUGACGCUGGACGUUCUCACGCUCUUUCCCCCAUAGGAAAGUAUUAAUUAAUGCGCAUUAGACCCUGCACAUCGCGGGACGGAGGAGGGGCAGAGCGUCAACCCAGAGCCAAGGGACAUCGACACUGGGAAAAGGUAAGUAAAUAAAGGGGUUUUAACCUUUAUUUACCAAGAAGGGGACAUGUGGGAGGGAUUGGGG